rnacentral:rRNA from 1 species
CGCUGGCGGCGUGCCUAAUACAUGCAAGUCGAACGGUCUUUCUAUGGAAGCUUGCUUCCACUGAGAAGAUAGUGGCGAACGGGUGAGUAACACGUGGGUAACCUGCCCAUAAGAGGGGGAUAACAUCCGGAAACGGGUGCUAAUACCGCAUAGUUUUCUUGAUCGCAUGAUCGGGAAAGGAAAGACGGCCUUUGUGCUGUCGCUUAUGGAUGGACCCGCGGCGUAUUAGUUAGUUGGUGAGGUAACGGCUCACCAAGACGAUGAUACGUAGCCGACCUGAGAGGGUGAUCGGCCACAUUGGGACUGAGACACGGCCCAAACUCCUACGGGAGGCAGCAGUAGGGAAUCUUCCGCAAUGGACGAAAGUCUGACGGAGCAACGCCGCGUGAGUGAAGAAAGGGUUUUCGGAUCGUAAAACUCUGUUGUCAGAGAAGAACAAGUUGGAGAGUAACUGCUCCAGCCUUGACGGUAUCUGACCAGAAAGCCACGGCUAGCUACGUGCCAGCCGCCGC